rnacentral:lncRNA from 1 species
GGGAUGCAUCACUCACUGUCUGGGAUCAUGUGGCUUAGUUCAGGUGGAAGAGCCAGAUGCAGGAUUUUUCCAGUUAACAGAGGAAGAAGAGAAGAAGUGAGGACUGAGGGAGAGAAUCUUGGCAGCAUCAAGGAGGCUGUUGGUGGCGAGCUGUGCUUGAAGAUGCUGCUCGUGGAAGUGACAUUUUAGGGCUUGUAGUGACAGAAGUCUUUAGCCUCCCAAGGCUGCUACCACCCCUGUCCCCACCUUUUGCUAAACUCCUGACACAUUAGCAAUCUUUGUGUAGGUGCA